UUGUACAUUCGAUGACGUAAAAACCAAAGUGUUGUCCAGAGGCUUUCAUUGUCAUGUGACAAAUCAUAAUUUGGAAGAUGUAUUGGAGAUAUUAAACAAUAGACGUGCAUAUGAAGCGUAUACCUACGAAAAUGAGGAACAUCUUGAACAAAGUGUUUACAGUGAACGUAAUAAACGUCUCCCAGCACCUGGUACAAGGGUCCACAGGGGACCACGGUGGUGUUGUGGUGAUGAAGACUCCCGUGGUUAUGGCACUAUCAUAGGGCACGAUAAAAGAGAUGAACGGGUGAAUGUUGAAUGGGAUACGGGA